AGAGUUUGAUCCUGGCUCAGGAUGAACGCUAGCGGCAGGCCUAACACAUGCAAGUCGAGGGGCAGCACGGUGUAGCAAUACACUGGUGGCGACCGGCGCACGGGUGCGUAACGCGUAUGCAACCUACCCAUAACAGGGGGAUAACACUGAGAAAUUGGUACUAAUACCCCAUAACAUCAGGACCGGCAUCGGUUCUGGUUGAAAACUCCGGUGGUUAUGGAUGGGCAUGCGUUGUAUUAGCUGGUUGGUGAGGUAACGGCUCACCAAGGCAACGAUACAUAGGGGGACUGAGAGGUUAACCCCCCACAUUGGUACUGAGACACGGACCAAACUCCUACGGGAGGCAGCAGUGAGGAAUAUUGGUCAAUGGACGCAAGUCUGAACCAGCCAUGCCGCGUGCAGGAAGACGGCUCUAUGAGUUGUAAACUGCUUUUGUACGAGGGUAAACGCUCUUACGUGUAAGAGCCUGAAAGUAUCGUACGAAUAAGGAUCGGCUAACUCCGUGCCAGCAGCCGCGGUAAUACGGAGGAUCCAAGCGUUAUCCGGAUUUAUUGGGUUUAAAGGGUGCGUAGGCGGUUUGAUAAGUUAGAGGUGAAAUACCGGUGCUUAACACCGGAACUGCCUCUAAUACUGUUGAACUAGAGAGUAGUUGCGGUAGGCGGAAUGUAUGGUGUAGCGGUGAAAUGCUUAGAGAUCAUACAGAACACCGAUUGCGAAGGCAGCUUACCAAACUAUAUCUGACGUUGAGGCACGAAAGCGUGGGGAGCAAACAGGAUUAGAUACCCUGGUAGUCCACGCAGUAAACGAUGAUAACUCGUUGUCGGCGAUACACAGUCGGUGACUAAGCGAAAGCGAUAAGUUAUCCACCUGGGGAGUACGUUCGCAAGAAUGAAACUCAAAGGAAUUGACGGGGGCCCGCACAAGCGGAGGAACAUGUGGUUUAAUUCGAUGAUACGCGAGGA
rnacentral:rRNA from 1 species